rnacentral:rRNA from 1 species
AACGAACGCUGGCGGCAGGCCUAACACAUGCAAGUCGAGCGAACCCUUCGGGGUUAGCGGCGGACGGGUUAGUAACGCGUGGGAAUAUACCCUUUGGUACGGAAUAGCCUCGGGAAACUGAGAGUAAUACCGUAUGUGCCCUUCGGGGGAAGAUUUAUCGCCAAAGGAUUAGCCCGCGUUGGAUUAGAUAGUUGGCGGGGUAAUGGCCUACCAAGUCUACGAUCCAUAGCUGGUUUGAGAGGAUGAUCAGCAACACUGGGACUGAGACACGGCCCAGACUCCUACGGGAGGCAGCAGUGGGGAAUCUUAGACAAUGGGCGCAAGCCUGAUCUAGCCAUGCCGCGUGGACGAUG